ACGGAAGGCAGCAGUGGGGAAUAUUGGGCAAUGGGCGAAAGCCUGACCCAGCAACGCCGCGUGAAGGAAGAAGGCCUUCGGGUUGUAAACUUCUUUUACCAGGGACGAAGGACGUGACGGUACCUGGAGAAAAAGCAACGGCUAACUACGUGCCAGCAGCCGCGGUAAUACGUAGGUUGCAAGCGUUGUCCGGAUUUACUGGGUGUAAAGGGCGUGUAGGCGGAGCUGCAAGUCAGAUGUGAAAUCCCGGGGCUCAACCCCGGAACUGCAUUUGAAACUGUAGCCCUUGAGUAUCGGAGAGGCAAGCGGAAUUCCUAGUGUAGCGGUGAAAUGCGUAGAUAUGUCACAGAACACCGAUUGCGAAGGCAGCCGGCCAAUCCGCAACUGACGCUCAUGCACGAAAGCGUGGGGAUCGAACAGGAUUAGAUACCCUGGUA
rnacentral:rRNA from 1 species